rnacentral:rRNA from 1 species
UACGUAGGGGGCAAGCGUUGUCCGGAUUUAUUGGGCGUAAAGAGCGUGUAGGCGGCUAGGUAGGUCCGUUGUGAAAACUCGAGGCUCAACCUCGAGACGCCGAUGGAAACCAUCUGGCUAGAGUCCGGAAGAGGAGAGUGGAAUUCCUGGUGUAGCGGUGAAAUGCGCAGAUAUCGGGAGGAACACCAAUGGCGAAGGCAGCUCGCUGGGACGGUACUGACGCUGAGGCGCGAAAGCGUGGGGAGCAAACAGG